AGUGAACGCUGGCGGUAGGCCUAACACAUGCAAGUCGAACGGCAGCACAGUAAGAGCUUGCUCUUACGGGUGGCGAGUGGCGGACGGGUGAGGAAUAUAUCGGAAUCUACUUUUUCGUGGGGGAUAACGUAGGGAAACUUACGCUAAUACCGCAUACGACCUACGGGUGAAAGCAGGGGAUCUUCGGACCUUGCGCGAUUGAAUGAGCCGAUGUCGGAUUAGCUAGUUGGCGGGGUAAAGGCCCACCAAGGCGACGAUCCGUAGCUGGUCUGAGAGGAUGAUCAGCCACACUGGAACUUGGACACGGUCCAGACUCCUGCGAGAGGCAGCAGUGGGGAAUAUUAGACAAUGGGCGCAAGCCUGAUCCAGCCAUACCGCGUGGGUGAAGAAGGCCUUCGGGUUGUAAAGCCCUUUUGUUGGGAAAGAAAAGCAGCAGGUUAAUACCCCGCGGUUCUGACGGUACCCAAAGAAUAAGCACCGGCUAACUUCGUG
rnacentral:rRNA from 1 species